UACGUAGGUGGCAAGCGUUAUCCGGAUUUACUGGGUGUAAAGGGUGAGUAGGCGGGUCUGCAAGUCAGGUGUGAAAUACUGCGGCUCAACCGCAGAAUUGCAUUUGAAACUACGGAUCUUGAGUGUCGGAGAGGUAAUUGGAAUUCCCAGUGUAGCGGUGAAAUGCGUAGAGAUUGGGAGGAACACCAGUGGCGAAGGCGGAUUACUGGACGACAACUGACGCUGAGACACGAAAGCGUGGGGAGCAAACAGGAUUAGAUACCCCU
rnacentral:rRNA from 1 species